rnacentral:tRNA from 1 species
AUAAACAAUUUAUUGCUUUAUUAAAAGUUAGAAGCUUUUA